AACGAACGCUGGCGGCAGGCCUAACACAUGCAAGUCGAACGCACCGCAAGGUGAGUGGCGCACGGGUGAGUAACACGUGGGAACGUACCCUUUGGUUCGGAAUAACGUCUGGAAACGGACGCUAAUACCGGAUGAGCCCUGUGGGGGAAAGAUUUAUCGCCAAAGGAGCGGCCCGCGUCUGAUUAGCUAGUUGGUGGGGUAAAGGCCUACCAAGGCGACGAUCAGUAGCUGGUCUGAGAGGAUGAUCAGCCACACUGGGACUGAGACACGGCCCAGACUCCUACGGGAGGCAGCAGUGGGGAAUAUUGGACAAUGGGCGCAAGCCUGAUCCAGCCAUGCCGCGUGAGUGAUGAAGGCCUUCGGGUUGUAAAGCUCUUUCGCACGCGACGAUGAUGACGGUAGCGUGAGAAGAAGCCCCGGCUAACUUCGUGCCAGCCGCCGCAGUAACAC
rnacentral:rRNA from 1 species